GGGCGGGGGCACGGGGGGACUCCUACGGGAGGCAGCAGUGGGGAAUCUUGCGCAAUGCGCGAAAGCGUGACGCAGCAACGCCGCGUGGGGGAAGACGGCCUUCGGGUUGUAAACCCCUUUCAGUUGGGACGAAGUCCGGUCGGUGAACAGCCGCGCCGGGUGACGGUACCUUCAGAAGAAGCCCCGGCCAACUACGUGCCAGCAGCCGCGGUAAUACGUAGGGGGCAAGCGUUGUCCGGAAUCAUUGGGCGUAAAGCGCGUGUAGGCGGCUCGGUAAGUCCGCUCUGAAAGCCCGGGGCUCAACCCCGGGAGGCGGGCGGAUACUGCCGAGCUCGAGUCCGGGAGAGGCGAGUGGAAUUCCUGGUGUAGCGGUGAAAUGCGCAGAUAUCAGGAGGAACACCAAUGGCGAAGGCAGCUCGCUGGGACGGUACUGACGCUGAGACGCGAAAGCGUGGGGAGCAAACAGGAUUAGAUACCCUGGUAGUCCACGCCGUAAACGAUGGACACUAGGUGUGGGAGGUGUCGACUCCUUCCGUGCCGAAGCUAACGCAUUAAGUGUCCCGCCUGGGGAGUACGGCCGCAAGGCUAAAACUCAAAGGAAUUGACGG
rnacentral:rRNA from 1 species